UCAUAAGGCCUUCCUAGUGAUACCAGCGUU
rnacentral:piRNA from 1 species